GAGAUGGGGCCUUGCUUUUCUCCUAGGUCUCUCACUUGGCUUGCAGCUGGACAGCAAGGAAUCGUUUCCUGCCAUUGAGACCAAAACCAUUGAGAAGUUGUCAUUAAACAGGAUCAGUGAGAGAAGGACGAGUUCCUCGGUGGUGCUACAUCCCCUUCCAAGGGCUGGGAGCAGGGCUGGAAGAAGCUCAGUGCUGUGCUGCUGGCAGCUGCGUGCUUUGGAGAGCGAUGGAGCAGAGCAGAAAUGCUGAGUGACAGCCUGAAGCAGUGAUGGAGCACCUGGGGGGAAGGCAGGGCCAGCCCAGGGCAGCUCAGGUGCAUGCAAUGUGCUGAGUGAUGGAAGGGCUGCAGCCAGGAUCCAGAAUUCCCAGCCCUCAUUCUGGGGUUGGCAUGAUGUGGACAUACCGUUCCAGGUGGGAUUAUUGUCCUCACGGUCUGGGGCUCCUGGAAUUACCUUUGCCCAAAGCAAAGCCUCCACCUGCGUGCUUGCAAGCCAUUAAUGCCUAACUAAAUGACACCGCUGGAGCCAGGAAUGAAGGUCAGCUGUGUAGAGCUGAAUGGAGCUAUUUCUCCUGUGCAGUGAUGCUGUGCCACCCGAGCUCCUGCGUAACGCUGAAGCGCAGUGAUGGGGACUGUCCCGUCCAGCAGACAGCAAUGGAUACAUAAAUAUGAGCACAGAGCUGCUGUGUUGGCUCCCCAGGACCACCGUACCCAUUAUGCUGCAGUUUGACCUCCGGCCAGGCACUUGUAAAUGGAGAAACUUCAGAAAUAAAUGAUGUUUUCUC
ensembl:lncRNA